UGCCCUGCCUGGGGCUCACUGCUCGGGCCUCCUAAUCCUGUACACGGCCGCGCGCAAUGAGUACGUAAGCUGAGUGUCCACCACUGAAGAAACAUAAAGUGAGGUUUUCUGUUCAUCCCCUUUCCGUUUGGGAAAGAUGGGGAUGCACCACAUGGAAUUGUCACUGGUCUCAAGGAGAAGUAUUUACUGAAAUGCUUAACAUAACAGCUGGGCGAAGAGGGAUCAUCAAAUGAAAUUAUGAGGUAGCAGGUUGAAAAGAAGGUAACCCUUCACGCUGAACACAAUUAAAUCUUGGAACUCAUUGCUACAGGAUGUCAGGCAUGUCAGAAGUUCAAAAAGCAAUUAAGCAUGAUCAUGGAAAAAAAAAUCCGUGCCGGGGUGUUCAACACAAACACCUCUGAUUCAGGAUCUCUUUAAGGUGCAAAUCCACAUCCUGCGGAAGCAUUUUUGGGGAGCAGCCUCCCCUGUCCUCACUCUGUCAUUAGACCAUUCCUGUUGGCAGCUCUAGGAGAUAAAGGCCUGGACUGGGCUAGAAAUGCUGCUGUUCUGACCCAGCAUGGUCAUCCCACUGUUUAAGUGUAUUUUCGUUCAACAUGAUUUAUUCCAUAAUCUGUAAUCAAUUGUAAACAGAAAUUCUUGCAAUGAACUUUUGUGAUACGUAAACGCUGUUUCCUUAUGCUCCAUACGUCUCUCUUCUUCCUUGCGUGUUGCUUUGGCUGGGGGAUGGAAGGUUGCUUUCAAGUGUGUUUGUAUAAUGCUGCGUUAUCAAGCUGAGCACUGGUCCGUGCCUGUAUUUCCUAGACAGUUAUUGAAUAUAAAUAAAUAUUAAUGAUCUGUA